rnacentral:rRNA from 1 species
GAAUUCGCCCUUAGAGUUUGAUCCUGGCUCAGGACGAACGCUGGCGGCGCGCCUAACACAUGCAAGUCGAACGAGCGAGAGAGAGCUUGCUUUCUCGAGCGAGUGGCGAACGGGUGAGUAACGCGUGAGGAACCUGCCUCAAAGAGGGGGACAACAGUUGGAAACGACUGCUAAUACCGCAUAAGCCCACGGGUCGGCAUCGACCAGAGGGAAAAGGAGCAAUCCGCUUUGAGAUGGCCUCGCGUCCGAUUAGCUGGUUGGUGAGGUAAUGGCCCACCAAGGCAACGAUCGGUAGCCGGACUGAGAGGUUGAACGGCCACAUUGGGACUGAGACACGGCCCAGACUCCUACGGGAGGCAGCAGUGGGGAAUAUUGCACAAUGGGGGAAACCCUGAUGCAGCGACGCCGCGUGGAGGAAGAAGGUCUUCGGAUUGUAAACUCCUGUUGUUGAGGAAGAUAAUGACGGUACUCAACAAGGAAGUGACGGCUAACUACGUGCCAGCAGCCGCGGUAAAACGUAGGUCACAAGCGUUGUCCGGAAUUACUGGGUGUAAAGGGAGCGCAGGCGGGAAGACAAGUUGGAAGUGAAAUCCAUGGGCUCAACCCAUGAACUGCUUUCAAAACUGUUUUUCUUGAGUAGUGCAGAGGUAGGCGGAAUUCCCGGUGUAGCGGUGGGAUGCGUAGAUAUCGGGAGGAACACCAGUGGCGAAGGCGGCCUACUGGGCACCAACUGACGCUGAGGCUCGAAAGUGUGGGUAGCAAACAGGAUUAGAUACCCUGGUAGUCCACACCGUAAACGAUGAUUACUAGGUGUUGGAGGAUUGACCCCUUCAGUGCCGCAGUUAACACAAUAAGUAAUCCACCUGGGGAGUACGACCGCAAGGUUGAAACUCAAAGGAAUUGACGGGGGCCCGCACAAGCAGUGGAGUAUGUGGUUUAAUUCGACGCAACGCGAAGAACCUUACCAAGUCUUGACAUCCUGUGACAGACGUAGAAAUACGUUCUUCCUUCGGGACACAGAGACAGGUGGUGCAUGGUUGUCGUCAGCUCGUGUCGUGAGAUGUUGGGUUAAGUCCCGCAACGAGCGCAACCCUUAUGGUCAGUUACUACGCAAGAGGACUCUGGCCAGACUGCCGUUGACAAAACGGAGGAAGGUGGGGAUGACGUCAAAUCAUCAUGCCCUUUAUGACUUGGGCUACACACGUACUACAAUGGCGUUAAACAAAGAGAAGCAAGACCGCGAGGUGGAGCAAAACUCAGAAAUAACGUCCCAGUUCGGACUGCAGGCUGCAACUCGCCUGCACGAAGUCGGAAUUGCUAGUAAUCGUGGAUCAGCAUGCCACGGUGAAUACGUUCCCGGGCCUUGCACUCACCGCCCGUCA